rnacentral:piRNA from 1 species
UCCGACAUCGGGGUGGAGACAUUG